GCAGUCGACGGCAGCAUGAUCUAGCUUGCUAGAUUGAUGGCGAGUGGCGAACGGGUGAGUAAUACAUCGGAACGUGCCCUGUAGUGGGGGAUAACUAGUCGAAAGAUUAGCUAAUACCGCAUACGACCUGAGGGUGAAAGUGGGGGACCGCAAGGCCUCAUGCUAUAGGAGCGGCCGAUGUCUGAUUAGCUAGUUGGUGAGGUAAAGGCUCACCAAGGCGACGAUCAGUAGCUGGUCUGAGAGGACGAUCAGCCACACUGGGACUGAGACACGGCCCAGACUCCUACGGGAGGCAGCAGUGGGGAAUUUUGGACAAUGGGCGAAAGCCUGAUCCAGCAAUGCCGCGUGUGUGAAGAAGGCCUUCGGGUUGUAAAGCACUUUUGUCCNGAAAGAAAUGGCUCUGGUUAAUACCUGGGGUCGAUGACGGUGCCGGAGGAAUAAGGACCGGCUAACUACGUGCCAGCAGCCGCGGUAAUACGUAGGGUNCAAGCGUUAAUCGGAAUUACUGGGCGUAAAGCGUGCGCAGGCGGUUGUGCAAGACCGAUGUGAAAUCCCCGAGCUUAACUUGGGAAUUGCAUUGGUGACUGCACGGCUAGAGUGUGUCAGAGGGGGGUAGAAUUCCACGUGUAGCANUGAAAUGCGUAGAGAUGUGGAGGAAUACCGAUGGCGAANGCAGCCCCCUGGGAUAACACUGACGCUCAUGCACGAAAGCGUGGGGAGCAAACANGAUUAGAUACCCUGGUAGUCCACGCCCUAAACGAUGUCAACUAGUUGUUGGGGAUUCAUUUCCUUAGUAACGUAGCUAACGCGUGAAGUUGACCGCCUGGGGAGUACGGUCGCAAGAUUAAAACUCAAAGGAAUUGACGGGGACCCGCACAAGCGGUGGAUGAUGUGGAUUAAUUCGAUGCAACGCGAAAAACCUUACCUACCCUUGACAUGCCACUAACGAAGCAGAGAUGCAUUAGGUGCUCGAAAGAGAAAGUGGACACAGGUGCUGCAUGGCUGUCGUCAGCUCGUGUCGUGAGAUGUUGGGUUAAGUCCCGCAACGAGCGCAACCCUUGUCUCUAGUUGCUACGAAAGGGCACUCUAGAGAGACUGCCGGUGACAAACCGGAGGAAGGUGGGGAUGACGUCAAGUCCUCAUGGCCCUUAUGGGUAGGGCUUCACACGUCAUACAAUGGUGCAUACAGAGGGUUGCCAAGCCGCGAGGUGGAGCUAAUCCCAGAAAAUGCAUCGUAGUCCGGAUCGUAGUCUGCAACUCGACUACGUGAAGCUGGAAUCGCUAGUAAUCGC
rnacentral:rRNA from 1 species